GACUGGAUAGCCUAGUGGUUAAGGCAUCAUAUAUGCCUCGUGUCCCACUUAAGGGUCCUUGUUUCAAAUCCAAGCCUAGUCA
rnacentral:tRNA from 1 species